rnacentral:rRNA from 1 species
GAACGCGAAAGUGGAGCAUCCAUGAGUACAGUGGCGUACGGGUGAGUACACGUGACUAACCUACCCUCGAGUGGGGAAUAACCUCGGGAAACCGGGGCUAAUACCGCAUAACAUCUACGGAUCAAAUGCGCAAGCAGCUUGAGGAGGGGGUCGCGGCCGAUUAGCUAGUUGGCGGGGUAAUGGCCCACCAAGGCAAUGAUCGGUAGCCGGCCUGAGAGGGCGCACGGCCACACUGGAACUGAAACACGGUCCAGACUCCUACGGGAGGCAGCAGUGGGGAAUUUUGCGCAAUGGGGGAAACCCUGACGCAGCAACGCCGCGUGGAGGAUGAAGCCCUUUGGGGCGUAAACUCCUUUCGAUCGGGACGAUUAUGACGGUACCGGAUGAAGAAGCACCGGCUAACUCUGUGCCAGCAGCCGCGGUAAU